rnacentral:lncRNA from 1 species
AUGCUAAUAUUACCUUUGGCAGAAAAACUGUUCCCUUUUAAUAAAUACAGUCCAAAAGGGCAGAACAAGUUGGAUGAACUGACCAAACUCUAUUUUUCUGUUUCUGUCAGGCUGCUGUGUGUGGAGGAUGAUUUCACUGAUAAGAAGUCCCCAAGUGGUCUGUCACGGUGUCUGGGACUAUUGCUCAGCAGUUGGCUGGUGUGGCUAAAGGGGAAGUGCAGCGAUUCAGAUAAAUGGGAUUCCUUCCAAAGCAGCAGGUGGACAACCUCUGCCAUCUGCUUUUUACUUCAUGGCUAUAGUCUGAAGAGUUACCAGGAUAUACAAAAAAUGGAUUGACCUAAAAAGUGAGGGGUCUCCUGACUUUUCCAGUGGUGUGAGUUACAGAACAAAAUCCCUCUGACGUUCAAGACCAUGAGACACAUGGUGAGUACCUCCAAGGGCUGGGCACAAACAGGAGGGCAGGUCCUGAAAAGCUUACAGACAGGGCAUUAUGUACCUUCUCAGAGGAUGCCAUGGUUGAUGGGGCUAGGGAUAGGCUUGGCUUGCCUUGGGUGGCAUCGGGCCCUCAAGCUCCUUCUGUCUCAUGGCAUUACAGGACUUGGCAACCCGCUGCCUUUGGCCAUGUGCUGGCUCUGCUGCUACAUCUGAACUGCCCAUUUGAAGGAGAAUCUGUAGAACCUGUGGCCACUGGAAGACACCUGAGGCUUUUGGGCCUGGGUGGUCAGGUGAAGGAGAGAAGGCUAAUAGAACAAAAGAUGUAUCUUGGGCACCCAGGUUCUUCAGUACAGCUCUGCACUACAGGAUGUUCUUCAAGUCUGAGCUACAGCAACAUCUGUGGACAACACUCUUUGUUCCUAUUUUUAGCAGCCUAA